GAGAGAAGGAGCUUGCUUCUUCGAUCGAGUGGCGAACGGGUGAGUAACGCGUGAGGAACCUGCCUCAAAGAGGGGGACAACAGUUGGAAACGACUGCUAAUACCGCAUAAGCCCACGGGUCGGCAUUGAUCUGAGGGAAAAGGAGUGAUCCGCUUUGAGAUGGCCUCGCGUCCGAUUAGCUAGUUGGUGAGGUAACGGCCCACCAAGGCGACGAUCGGUAGCCGGACUGAGAGGUUGAACGGCCACAUUGGGACUGAGACACGGCCCAGACUCCUACGGGAGGCAGCAGUGGGGAAUAUUGCACAAUGGGGGAAACCCUGAUGCAGCGACGCCGCGUGGAGGAAGAAGGUCUUCGGAUUGUAAACUCCUGUUGUUGAGGAAGAUAAUGACGGUACUCAACAAGGAGGUGACGGCUAACUACGUGCCAGCAGCCGCGGUAAAACGUAGGUCACAAGCGUUGUCCGGAAUUACUGGGUGUAAAGGGAGCGCAGGCGGGAAGACAAGUUGGAAGUGAAAUCUAUGGGCUUAACCCAUAAACUGCUUUCAAAACUGUUUUUCUUGAGUAGUGCAGAGGUAGGCGGAAUUCCCGGUGUAGCGGUGGAAUGCGUAGAUAUCGGGAGGAACACCAGUGGCGAAGGCGGCCUACUGGGCACCAACU
rnacentral:rRNA from 1 species